ACAAUACCAUACUAUGUAUCUACUGAAGUAUGUAACGUGCUUUUAGAAGUUAGAAGAUUUUUUUUCUCAAUCCCCCAAAACCUCAAACCAGUAACCUAUCACUCCUCCCUCCUCCCAUGGCUUCCAACCCUAUCGCAUUUCAACCACCUCUAUUGAAAUCACUGUUGAAUUCUACCUACCCUUAAUUUAUGGAUCCAUUACGACAAUUUCAAGUGUUGCCCCUCCACCAUCCUCACCGCACAAUGAUGCCGUCAACUCCCCUUCUACUUUUUGUGCAGAGAAACUGAAUUCAGGUUCUUCUUGUUCCUUUUUUUAAGGUAAAAUUAUGCUCAGAAUAUUCCAUCCCGUUGUUCGAACUGCAAUUUCCUUGUGAUAAUUGUACCCUAGAUUUAUUAUGAAAUUGUUUGAUCUUUUUUGUGGAUUUGAGCAUCACCUCAACAAUUUCUCAUCCCCUCUUCCUUAUUUCUUCGCAAUUUUUUGGCAACUCCCGUGGAGAAGGCCCGACCUAAAUCGCCGACUAUACCUCAAACUCGGAUCGAUCAUGAAGGGAAACUUUGAUCAAAUUGGGUAGCUACUGAAAAUGUUACCAACGUACUUUUUUGGGAUUCCUAGCAUUUAUUCGCAAGAGGUGAUUGACGAGCUAAACCAAACAGAAGACGAUGGAGAUUGAAGAUGACGGUCAAGUUUGAAUUGUACAUUUUAUUUAAUUAUUUUAGAAUUUUAGUUUUAGUCGAUAGCAUUAGAUUAUACAAACUUUAUUUUUAAGACAUUGGAAGAAAUAGAUGUUUUGAGUGAAAUUGGUUUUGACAUGAUGAAUAAAGCAAAAAGUAAUUUCUAUUUAAUAA